rnacentral:rRNA from 1 species
CCUACGGGUGGCAGCAGUGAGGAAUAUUGGUCAAUGGGCGCAAGCCUGAACCCGCAAAGUCGCGUGAGGGAAGACGGCCCUACGGGUUGUAAACCUCUUUUGCCGGGGAGCAAGCCUUAGCACGUGUGCCCCGGCGGAGAGUACCCGGAGACAAAGCCUCGGCUAACUCCGUGCCCGCAGCCGCGGUACUACGGAGGAUGCGGGCGUUCUCCGGAUUUGUUGGGUUAAAGGGGUGCGCAGGCGGAGGUGCCAGUCAGCGGUCAAAUUGCGUGGCUCAACCCAGUACUGCCGUUGAAACUGCAUCCCUUGAGUGCGCGAGAAGUAGGCGGAAUGCGUGGUGUAGCGGUGAAAUGCAUAGAUAUCACGCAGAACUCCGAUUGCGAAGGCAGCAUACCGGCGCGCAACUGACGCUCAUGCACGAAAGCGUGGGUAUCGAACAGGAUUAGAUACCCUUGUAGUC